UACGAAGGGGGCUAGCGUUGUUCGGAAUUACUGGGCGUAAAGCGCACGUAGGCGGAUUGGAAAGUUGGGGGUGAAAUCCCGGGGCUCAACCCCGGAACUGCCUUCAAAACUCCCAGUCUGGAGGUCGAGAGAGGUGAGUGGAAUUCCGAGUGUAGAGGUGAAAUUCGUAGAUAUUCGGAGGAACACCAGUGGCGAAGGCGGCUCACUGGCUCGAUACUGACGCUGAGGUGCGAAAGCGUGGGGAGCAAACAGG
rnacentral:rRNA from 1 species